CUGUUCGAUCACAAUCUAAUAUUUCGUUUUGACUCUUCCAGUAGAGGGCUGUUCGAGAGCAUGCGCACAACCGCAGCAAGAGAACCUUAUUCCUCCUGUCACAACAUUGAGGGGCAAAACGACAGCCGUGUGGUGUCUGGCUUCUAAUAGAUCUGUGAAGACAUAGAAUGUGAUUGGAAUGGAAGCUCGGAGAAGGAGUCCCUGAUUGGCCGAAAGACGAGGCGGGUGCACAUACCAAACGAAUCGAUCCUGUCUCAAAUGAUGCAGGCAGAGGAUAGGAAGAAAAGGAGUUUCAGCAAGGGCGUGGCGGAGGAAUAUUGUCUAAGAGUGAGUAGGCCUGGACCUGACCGCACCUGAGCUCAUUAUCAUAUCCUGACAACAUUAUACCUGUUGGGUGAAAAGUUAAGUGUUGCCCAAGUUUCUGCCAGCAAACUAACAACUGUGUCAUUUCAGGAGCGACCAAACGAGGACACCGUAAAAAUGAAGAACAAAGUGACAAGCACACAAGCAGUGAGGGGUAAGAAGAAGGCAUGGUCGUGGGAUCAGUACCUGGGAGAGGAGAAGGUCACAGCAGCAACCCUAAGACUCUUCACUGAGGUAAGCGUCACCUUCAUCAACCAGUAGGUAUAUAGUACAUUCGGAAAGUAUUCAGACCCCUUGACUUUUUCCACAUUUU
ensembl:lncRNA